AAGCUCGUAGUUGAAUUUCGGGGUCAAUGCGUCGGUCGUGCCUUCGGUACGUACUGAUGUUAUUGAUUCCUCCCUUCUGACGAACCGUGAUGUCAUUAAUUUGGUGUUACGGGGAAUCAGGACUGUUACCUUGAAAAAAUUAGAGUGUUUAAAGCAGGCUAACGCUUGAAUACAUUAGCAUGGAAUAAUGAAAUAGGACGUUCGAACCUAUUUUGUUGGUUUCUAGGAUCGACGUAAUGAUUAAUAGGGAUAGUUGGG
rnacentral:rRNA from 1 species